AACGAACGUUGGCGGCGCGCCUAACACAUGCAAGUCGAGCGCGAAAGGUCUUCGGGCCGAGUAGAGCGGCGCACGGGUGAGUAACACGUGAGUAACCUGCCCUUGGGUCUGGGAUAACAUUUCGAAAGGAGUGCUAAUACCGGAUAAGACCACGGUGUCUUCGGACGCUGUGAGAAAAGCUGGGGACCGGAAACGGCCUAGCACCUGAGGAUGGGCUCGCGGCCUAUCAGCUUGUUGGCGGGGUAACGGGCCCACCCAAGGACGUACGACGGGUAGGCUGGUCUGAGAGGAUGAUCAGCCACACUGGAACUAGAGACACGGUCCA
rnacentral:rRNA from 1 species